ACAUACUUUGAUAUCUAUUAUUGUUUUGCUUAAACAUCUGAGAAUACGCACUGGCAAAGUAUUGGUAUAUGAUAAAAAAAUAUAAUUGUUGUUGUGUGUCGUUAACUUUUACAUAUACGUAUAUAUCUAAUAUAUAUAUUUGUGUUUCACAUGUGAAUUAUAUGAUGUUACAAUAUAAUGGUAUAAAGGGCUCUCAAAUAUACUCGUAAUUACAUAUUAUCUUUUCUUUAAACGUGUAUUAAUUUGUAAUCCGAUUCUAGAUAUAGCAUGAUAUCUAAUACUGUUAGUGUACUAUUAACUGUUGCUUCCAUGCUUUCUUGUGUCUUACAUAUUGUGUAACUAAUUCAUGUAAAUAUGGCGAUAGAUUUUUAUGAACGCGUUAUAUUGUAUGUUUUUAUAAACAGAUUUUUAAAUUUUGUCAUAAGUCAAAUUAAUGAAACUGUUUGAAUCUUAAAAACACACCUCUAUCAAAACAAGUUGAAAAAAGAUUCGAAUAUAUAUAUUUUUUUGCAUUAUAUUUUGUUUCAUGGUGAUUUUUAAUAUACUUACAGGGAAAUUCAAUGAAUAAAAAAAGCGGUUAUCAUAAAACCCACAAAAGGACUAAAAAGGUGUCAAUAUUUCGAUAAAUUUUAUUUUCAAGUUAUAUAAUUUAAACAGUAUGUAUGACUUUUUGAUUAUUUUGUUUUUAUGUAUUGAUUUGUAUUGACCCGCAUCUCUUAACAAUUCAUUCUAGGGAAAUGAUCUAAAGACACCUCAUCGGAGAUGCUUUGUUUUUAAUGGUGCUUCUUCAUAAUUUGCAUGUGUUUGCCUUUGGUGUUGUUUGUUUUGAUUUUGCAGAUGAUAUUGAUCCUGGUAAAAGAUAGGAACAACAUAAGAAAGCAACCAUAAAUGGUAAACUGAGCAGGAUCCUUUCGAGAUGACCUUUAUGGAAAUGGAAACAAAAACACAAACACCAUACGAUGAAAAAACUGAACCCCUCUGUUGACUCAAGUCAUAGGAGAAUUGCACUCUGCAUUAAAUUUUGAAAACAGUUUUACGGUUGCCUAUAAUUGCUUACAUACACUUCCUUUGAACUUUGGUCGAUAGUUGUCUCAUUGGCAAUAUUACCAUAUCUCCUUAGUUUUAGCUCACCCGGCCAAAGGGGCCAAGUGAGCUUUUCUCAUCACUUGGCGUCCGUCGUCCGUCGUCGUCCGUCGUCCAUUAACUUUUACAAAAAUCUUCUCCUCUGAAACUACUGGACCAAAGGUACAAUCAUCAUUGGGGUAUCUAGUUUAAAAAAUGUGUCCGACGACCCGGCCCGCCAACCAAGAUGGUCGCCAUGGCUAUAAAUAGAACAUAGGGGUAAAAUGUGGAUUUUGGCUUACGCUCUGAUACUAAAGCAUUUAGAGCAAAUUUAACGGAGUAAAAUUGUUCAUCAGUUCAAGAUCUAUCUGCCCUGAAAUUUUCAGACAAAUCAGACAACCCGUUGUUGGGUUGCUGCCCCUGAAUUUGUAAUUUUAAGAAAAUUUUGCAGUUUUUGGUUAUUAUCUUCAAUAUUAUUAUUGAUAUAGAUAAACUGUAAACAGCAAUAAUGUACAGCAAAGUAAGAUCUACAAAUAAGUUAACAUAAUCAAAAUGGUCAAUUGACCCCUUAAGGAGUUAUUGCUCUUUAUAGGCAAUUUUUAACAAUUUUUCAUAAUUUUUGUAAUCUUUUACAAAAAUCUUCUCCUCAGAAACUACUGGGCCAAAUAGAAUCAAACUUAGCCAAAAUCAUCAAUAGGGUAUUUAGUUUAAAAAAUGUGUCCGAUGAUCCCGCCCGCCGACCAUAAUGGCCGACAUGGCUAAAAAUAGAACAAAGGGACAAAAUGCAGUUUAUGGCUUAUAUCUCUGAAACUAAAACAUUUAGAGCAAAUCUGACAAUCAGGUAAACUGUUCAUCAAGUGAAGUUCUAUCUGAACUGAUAUUUUCAGACAAAUUAAACAACCCGUUGUUGGGUUGCUUCCCCUGAAUUAGUUAUUUUAAGGAAAUUUUGCAGUUUUGGGAAAUUAUCUUGAAUAUUAUUAUAGAUAAAGAUAAACUGUAAACUGCAAUAAUGUUCAACAAAGUAAGAUCUACAAAUAAGUUAACAUGACCAAAAUUAUCAAUUGACCCCUUAAGGAGUUAUUGCCCUUUAUAGUCAAUUUUUAAAUUUUUUUUAAGAUUUUUUGUAAUCUUUUACAAAAAUCUUCUCCUCUGAAACUACUGGGCCAAAUAGAAUUAAACUUGACCACAAUCAUCAUUAGGGUAUUUAGUUUAAAAAAUGUGUCCGAUGACCCUGCCUGCCAACAAAGAUGGCCGACAUGGCAAAAAUUAGAACAUAUGGGGUAAAAUGCAAGUUUUGUCUAUUAAUCUGAUAACCAUUAUAAAGAGAGGAAAUCUGAAAGGGUAAAAUUGUUUAGAAUGUUGAGCUCUACCAAUUAUGUAUAUACGUCAAUACUGUCAGACGAUUUCCUGUAGGAGUUAUUGCCCUUAAAUGACAAAUAUUACCACUUUUUUUUCGAUUUUUGCCUAUUAUCUUGAAAACUAUAAAAGAUAGAGAGAAACUUUAAAGCGCAAAAAUAAUCAGAAGGACAAUUUCUACAAAUAAGUCUUAUGGUUAAAAUCAUCAGUUGAAUCCUUAUGAGAGUUAUUGUCCUUUGAUGCCGAUUUGUACAAUUUGUUUUGCGUUUUUGUCUUUUAUCUUAAAACUUAUAAUAGAUAGAAAGAAACUUAAAUACUAGUAUACAAAAAUGAUCAACAAGACAAGAACUACAAUUAAGACAAACGGCGUAAAUUGUCCGACGACUCCUUAUUGGAGGUUUUGCCCUUUAAUUACGAUUUUUACUAUUCUUUUUGCGUUUUGCCUUAUAUGAUAAUAAUUAUAAUAGAUAGAUAGAAACUUAAAUAAUCAAAAAUGAUAAGCAAGACAAGACCUACUAACAUGUCAUUUUGCUGAUAUAAUUUGUAGACUGUUACUUUUUAUAGGAGUUUUUUUACCCUCUUUGGUGUUUGGAGCAAAAGCUAAAUAAGAUCAUUGAAGAUAGAAAGAAACUAAACAAACUUCAAUGAUCAGCAAUAUAAGAUACAAAAAAAAAAAACCAGAAAUUUUUGUCAAUAAUUCUAUUCUCGUCUACAAUGUUGGAGAGUGUUUUUUGUUGAAUAUGCAUAUAGACCAAAGUGAGCGACACAGGCUCUUGAGAGCCUCUAGUUAUAUUUAUAAAGCUGAUUGAUCUAUGUGUUUGUUGACUUGAUAAUGAAUUAUAUGAUUGUUCUUGUGAUAAUUGUCGAUGGCAGACAUUUUUAUCAAAAGAACUGUAAAAGAUUUCUCCUGAAUUAUAUUGUUUAAAAUUAUUUACAGUACUAAUGGAACUGCACACGAUGCACAUUUCUUCUUCUAACAUGUCUUUAGUAAUGCUCCAGUUCAAAAUAUUUGGAAAUCCAAAAGCUUCACUCACUCAAUUAAAGAUAUAUGAACUUAACUUGAACCUUAAAAUAACAUGCGUAUACUUUAAAGGAUGUAAAGAUUAAAUACAACAUAAAGAGUAUAUACUUAACAUAAUUUAUAAUGUACCAUGGUGAACUGAUCCAUUUCACGCAAUGCUUCUACACUCUUAGUUUAUUCUGUCAAGUCUGUACAUGUAUUUUUUCACAGUCCUAAUUCAGAAUAAAAAUCUUCAACUAUUAUAGAGGCCAUGUGACUAUAAAACUGCAAUUUUUUUUGUUUAUUUCACAUUUAAGGUCUGCUAGAUUUCUCAAAACCGUGUCAACAGGGUAAACUGAUAGUGUCCAAAGUGACGACUUCUUUUUUUUUUAACUUUCAACAGCAAUGCACAUUUCAAACAUAACGUGGCAUUAUACAAUUUAAAUAAACCUAGUCUAUUUGUAUUAAAAAAAAUCAAAUAACCAAUCCGAUGUGACUUGAUAUAGAGAAUAACUUAUACGAAUUAUAAAGUUAGUCUCGGAUAAAGUGGGUUAUACUGUUGAUGUUCAUUUUGGUUACGUAGCAUUUUAUGCAUUUAAACAUUGUUGGGAUUUACUUAGUUGGAUUUUAGCAUUCUUGAUGCAGGUUUAUCAAAAAAAAAAAAAAGAACGCUGGACGCACACAAUGCAUACAGUGUAUUUUUUGUUUGUUUUUGAUUUUUCAAUAGCAGUUGCUUUCAACGUAUAAAAAUAGAUUAACAUGCUCCUUGCUCCGUUUAAAGUUUCUUUAUCAUUGAGGUGUAAUACCACCAAAAUCAUAGUACGUCACAUCCUGUUGCAUACGAAAAAUGGUCGAGAAAAAAAUAUUCCCUUGAAUUUGACAGUUGUAGGAAAUUAAUCCUACAUUUCAUUGCAGUAAAAAAAUUCUGAGUCAUAAACAUAUAUCUUGGGUGUUUCAAAGCACCCUUAUUUUUUUUUGGUGUUUCUAUAGAAUAUAUUGGAAACUUGAGGUUACAUGGUUACUAAAGCUUGUACACGGGGAAAAAAAGGGGUGAAAUUCGAUUGGUUAACUUCCAGUGACGGUCAUUUUCUUAUAUGCAAUGAAAUAUUAUGUGAAAUUUUGUCUAUAGCACUGGACAGGAUAAAACUUUACCCAUGCCAAGUAUUUCUUUAUUUGAAACAAAGAUAAAUUCUGCACAAUUUUUGGAAAAGUGCAAAUUUAACAAAGACUAAUAGGGGGAAAUCAAUGGUAUUACACCUUGAUAUCAAACAUAGGAAGCAUAAAUACUUAAUCAGCUCGUAAAAAAUAUGGUGUCUACUGUGUUAGGUUUUAACUAUCCUUGGCGUUUCAAAGAUCUACAUGUAAAAUUUAAUCAGCAAGUUAUUUGGUUAUGUUCACUGAUGUUUUUGAAUUUUAUAGGAUACUUUUAUUUUUAUUACUGAUUUUUAGCUGUGUAGCAAAGUAAGACACAUAAGUGCAGGUGAACCUUGUUGACAUUUGAAUUGCGUUUUCUAGUAACAAAUAGUUUGAUUGCUAGCCUCACUGAUGACAUUAGUUGUUGAAACUAGAGGUAAAAAAAACACAAAAAAUGAUAAAACGAUGAAAAAAGACCAAUAGUAUAAAAAUACAAAACUGAAAACUAAUGACUGAGCAGCACGAACCCAGCAAAUUGUUUAAAUUAGGAUUUGCCAGUAAUAUUAUAACCGAUUAACAUGCUACUAUUAUUAACAUAUAAAAACGCAAUAGCUGUGCGUUAAAUUCAGCGAUUUACCUUCAAAGGAGAUUAUCUAAACAUUAUGUUGAAAACAUUGAAUUUACAUUAUCCGUACUACUAUGUACAUGGAAUGAUUAAUCAUUGCAGUAGAUUGUUUUGACUGUUUUGCGUUGGUCCCUUUGCUUUUGAUUUUACACAAAUCGUUUGCAAUUGAAUAUCUCACUGAUUGCGUAGAAUGUUUCUAGUGAAAUUGAUUGUCGCAACACCUCAAAAAUUCUUAAAAUUUUAGGUUAAUGUUAUUGUUGAAGGCCGUACGUUGCCCUAUAACAGCUUACAUCAACUUUGGUUUACCUGUAGUGGAUAAUUGUCCCAAUAGCAAUCACAUCACUUCUUCUUAUAUUUAUAUUCCAUAAAAUAGAGCUGUACUUACAGCUUUUAAAUUAUUUAUUCAUAUGUAUAACGGGAUAAUGUAAGUCUUCAUUUAAUCGUAAAGCAUUUUCAAUCGAAUUAUAUAUCAUUUAUAGCUUCAAACAUCUAGCCUUCAAUGUAUUUUUUUAUUAUCACGGUAUGUACAUUAGUAUACAAAUAUUCAUAAUAAGUGUUAUAUCUUAGUAUUAAAACAGUAACUUAGAAAAGAAAUGGCCUCUAAAAAUCUUUUUAUCAUUUCCAUCACAUUCUUUUAAAUUUAAACGAAUUUAAAUAUUUGUAUAAGCAACGCACCACCUGUUAGUAUAAAAUCACAGUUUUCGUAUGCACAUGCUGAAUUUACGUGGUACAUGACAUGUCGACAUGAAGUUCACAAUUUUGACGUUCCUGAUUAUUAUCAUGGUUUCACAAGGUAGGACGUAGUUGUAGCUUUUAUUUUUGUGCUACUUUUAUAGAUGAAUCAUCUUAUGUUUUAAAUCUUUUCGAACAGAUAAAUGUCAGCAAGAUAUGCAUUUAUAUGCCUAUAUAUCUAUAUGCUGUGAUUACAAACACGUAUUUAGGGAAUGAAAUAACGGCUUAAGUUAAUGCAUAAAACUAACCAUAGAAGAGGUUAACACAAUGGAACUAGCCAGUUGAUUGAUAUGUGUUUAUCAUCAACAACGAAUCCAUGUUGAUGAAAUAUGAUUAAUUCAUGUUUGAUACAGUUAAGUCUACUUACAUCCAGAAAUUAACAAUUAGAACCGGUUGAGAAAAGAAGAGGACUUCAGCUUCCAAAUUUUGAAUUUUCCAUUUUUAUGUAAAAACAUUCCAAGAGCGCCUGUACAUGGAGUAUGCAUGUAUUUCCUAUCAAUAUGUUAUUGAUGGAUUGUUGCUGCUCACUAGAUUUACAAGUGGUGAAGUUUCAAUCAUCUCCUCGGAAAUUUUACAGACGUUAUCACGAGUUAAUUAGUUGGUUAAGUGUUAUGGAAUAUCACGUCCACUUUCCUCCGACCUACCUACCGAAUUAGACUUUCUGCAGGAUGUGUACUUACAUAAGCAAAACUGUAUGUGCUACAUAUAGAGCAGGAUCAGCUUUUCUUUUCGGAGCACAUGAGAUAACACCCACUUUUUGGUGGGGUUCGUAUUGCUCAGUUUUUAGUUUUCUAUGUUGUGUUUUGUAUACUGUUGUUUGUGUUUUGGUCGUUUUUCUUUUUUUUUCAAGGCAUUGUUAGUUUUUGUACUUAUACAUUUAAAGGUUCCUUUGAUAUCUUUGAAUUUAUUCCCAAGAGCUGUCGAGGCGAUAGCUCUACCACGAAAACACCGAUGUAGUUACCGUAAAUAGACAUAUAAUUAUUGAUACAAACUAAAAACUAUGUUUUAAAAAUAUCAUUGACAAAACCCCUAUUCAUCCCUUUCAAAGAAAAAAAGGUUGGUUAUUAAAUCGGUUUACUCAAAAAGAAAAGGGACCACAAAAUAGUCAAAAUUAAAAAAUUGAUCACACAUGCCACAGUUCAUUUUACAUGUUUCAUGCAGCCAUAAGGUUUGAAAAUACCUCUUUUUAUGGAUAAUUGUAAAAUAAAAUACAUUAACUAAGAAAGCAGUUACGUUCAUUAGGUUUCAAAUACAAACAUCAACAAUUUAAGUUAAUUCAUUUCUUUUGAUGCUAUUUUUUAGAAGGAAAUGGCACACGAUGUUCUGCAAUAAAUGGAAAGUGUAAAAGAAAAUGUUUAUCAACAGAAAUAGGUUUGAAUGGGCAUGGGUGCUGUCAUCAUAAAAAAUGUUGUUACGAACCUAGUAUAUGUAUGCCAUCAUGUCGCGGUAUUUGUCAAACAAAUGGCUGUGGAUGUACACAAUGUGAUUGUGAUUGUCAUGAUAAUUGUAUGGCAACCAACAGUACUUGUUGUUCAGACUUUUUAACAGAAUGUUACGGAAUGAUUUUAUAAAGCAUGUCAAAGUUGUAUUGUUAGUUUAGGUAACUGUUACAAAAUUUUGGAAAUUAUCCAAAACUUUUGAAUAUAUCUCCUUCAUGCAAAGCUCGGAUUCCUUGACUAUACUUUUUGUCAAUUUUUGUUUAUAAGCUUUUCAGUGUUUGAAUAAGUUUUAAGAUUUUCAGAUAUAUUGAUCUUGAGCAUAUUUAAAGGACAUUUAUUGUCAAAAUGCGCAUCUGCGGCAGAAAAAUUUGUUACGUUAAUGUUAUUAAUUAACAUCAGCAUAAUCAUGUGCGUCUAGUAUAAGUAGUUAAGACGCGAUAUGAUUAUGUUGGCAAGUGUAUAAUGAUUGAUUUUCUCUACCUGUGCAGAGUUUUACAUGUUCGAAUGCGCUUAUCUGUGUUUUAAUUCCAUUUUAGCUGAAUGUAUCAAAAAUCAUGGGAGGGGAGACAGUGACAGUGGGGUUAAAAAUAAAUAAAAAAAUAAAUGCAAACAACAUCACCAUGCUCAAGUACAAAAUAGAUGAAAGGACAAACAAAACAAAACAAAACAGCGCACAAUUCUAACGCAAUUAUUUUGUAUCAACGGAUGCCAAUCAGCGUAAAAUUCUCUAUCUUCUUGUAUGUAACUAAGGACAGCCGACAUUUUGCAUUCCGGAAUGUAUUGACAUAUAAAUUUUUCAAAAAUAAAAAAAAAAAAAAAAGAAA